GCUGCUCACUCUUUGAGUCCGCACUGCCUUUAAGAGCUGUAACACUCACCACAAAGGUCUGCAACUUCACUCCUGAGGCCAGUGAGACCACAAACCCUCCAGAAGGAAUAAACAACUCCAGACGCACUGCCUUUAAGGGCUGUAACACUCACAGCGAAGGUCUGCAGCUUCACUCCUGAAGCCAGCAAGACCACGAACCCACUGGGAGGAAUGAACAACUCUGGACAGGAGGAAUGAACAACUCCAGACACACCAUCUUUAAGAACUCUAACACUCAUUGUGAGGGUCCGUGGCUUCAUUCUUGAAGUCAGCGAGACCAAGAACCCACCAAUUCCAGACACAGAAGCAGUUAAUUAAUAACUGGUAUAAUUAUUUGUUGGUGCCUGGCAUCUCAUUUAACUGGGAAGCUGCAUGGGUGGGGUCCAGGGCUGAGUCUGUGGUUUACUAAGGUGUCCCCACCUCUACUGCCCAGUGCUUGACACAUUGCCAGUGCUCAAUGUUUGCUAUGCAAUGAAUGGAAAAAUCACCCUUGUCUAAUGAAUGUUGAGUCUCACAUUUUAAUUUGUGAAUAAUUUCUCCAGUUUUAUAGCUUAGGAGUUUUCAUGGAUUGCUUUCCUGACCUGAGGUUCACAUGUUUGAAAUUUACCCUAACCAGCCUGACUCUCUGCCACUCUCUGUUGCUGGCCUUGUCUGUCUGGAGGAAGGAGGAGGGUAGAUUACCUUCUUACUCACUGAGGCAUCAGUGAUAAGUGAAAUUGAUUCUUUCCCCCAGGCCUGAUUCAGCAGGAAGCAUCUCAGACACCAACCACUAUGCUGCCAGCAGUGGCCCGGGGCUACCGGGGCUGGUUUCAUCCCUGUGCUAGGCUUUCUGUGAGGAUGAGCAGCACUGGGAUAGACCGGAAGGGCAUCCUGGCUAACCGAGUAGCCGUGGUCACGGGGUCCACCAGUGGGAUCGGCUUUGCCAUGGCCCGGCGUCUGGCCCGGGAUGGGGCCCACGUGGUCAUCAGCAGCCGGAAGCAGCAGAAUGUGGACCGGGCCGUGGCCGAGCUGCAGGGGGAGGGGCUGAGCGUGGCGGGCAUCGUGUGCCACGUGGGGAAGGCUGAGGACCGGGAGCAGCUGGUGGCCAAGGCCCUGGAGCACUGUGGGGGUGUCGACUUCCUGGUGUGCAGCGCAGGGGUCAACCCUCUGGUGGGGAGCACUCUGGGGACCAGUGAGCAGAUCUGGGACAAGGUGAGAGGCCUCCCCUGGGGAGGUGGCUGAGGGCCUGAUGCCAGUUCUGCGCUGGGCUCCAGCAUGCCUGUGCCCACCAAGACUCUCUGUUUCCCUCCAGAGGUUACAGGAGAAGCAGGCCCUGGGUGGUAGUCCUGCCUGGCCAGCUGUCUCCCAAAAUGUGCCCGGAUGCUACUUUCUGGCUUGUUGGUUCUUAAAUCUGGCCCCCACACUUUCUGCUUUGUUUUCUCUUCUCAUCACUUUUGCAUUUAAUCAUUCAGCAGAUAUUUAUUGCUGUUUUCCAGGCACCACCAUUCCAGGCUCUAGGGAUACAGCUGUGAAUGGUUAGUCAGAGUCUCUCUGUAAGAGUCAAACACUUCAGUAUGGUACACCCUUUUGUAGGGGAAGAUACGGAUACUGUGUUUCUCUUUGGUGACCUGUGCCUCUUGCAGAGACUGUCUCUCCUAGAAGGGGGCUCCUCACUGAGUCCCAUACGAACUUGCUGUCAGGACCAGAUCCAGCCAUCAGCAUUCCGGGGGCUUAGACAUCCCAGCCUGCUGCAAGUCCAUUCAAGGAUUCUGCCACCUUGUCCACAAGGGACCGGGAGAGACCUUGUAAAAUGCCUUGAAGCUCAUCUUGGGCCUAGUUGUUCCCCAAUGACUUCUGUUCCCUUCACUCUCAUGUUUUGUUUCCUCUUCUCUCUGCCAGAAUGCAUUGUGAUGAAUCUCAUUCUUUCUGCUAUUGUGAGCAUUCCCCACUCUGCCCUAAGCACUGGGUCAAAGUGUUUCCUGCCUUCUGGCCUUAGUGUGUUCUGCCUUCCCUAGAUCCUGCACUCUCACUUGCCAACAUCAUCUUUAGGCUGGCCCCUCCCUUCUAUCUGCCCUUGGCUGGGUGCCCUUGGCUAUGUCCUCAGAGAUGAUCUGAAAUUUGAGCUCCCUGCAGCCCCUGCUAUGCAGCUUCCCCAGGCUCUUUAGCUAUGUUGUUAAUGCCUCCAAAGGAUCAUUUGUGAUUUUAUAGCUGAGAUUUUAUUGCUGACAGUCUCCUAACCCUCCUGAAUCAUUUUCCUGUUUAGUGUCUCAGUUCACAGGAUCAUGACUCUUUUUCUCAAAACUGUUUGCAGUACUCCCUCCUGAAGCUGAGAGCAGAUGCCAACAAUCUGACCUUACUUUCUCUGAUUCUCCCCUGUUCUCCAAGGACUUGGCCUUCAGUGAGCAAUUCUGUACCACUGGACAGAAAUCAUUGAUGACUUGUCCCUGAUCACAUCUGCCAUCACCUCGGAGAUGAAAUUGUCACAAAAUGAGUUUAGAAUUUACUGGAUGCUCUGCUUUCAACUAAAUGUGUUUUCAGUAGGUGUCCUUUAAGGAGAAUUCCUUACCACUCAUCUUAUUCUUGAGCCAGUUUUGAGGCCAUCUCCAGGCAGACCCCCCUUCUUUCCAGCAGAUUGGGAAACCUCUAAUCUGUUAAACUACCAAAACCACAUCACCUCCAUCCUUCUCCUGAUCCAGUGACUCCAGCGUGUGCCCUCUUUCAGGCUCAUGGAUAGUUCUCUGCUCAGGACUACUUGGCACACAGAGCUACUCUCUCUUACUUUCUAAUGGGGCAGUUUUCUUCAUUAAGGGAGGGAGUCUCACCUUUUCUUUGGCUUGGGUUUUGUUCCUGCAUCUAGGAGGGGUCUUACCUCAGCCCCUCACUCAGCCUGAUGCACAUGGAGUAUUGGAAAGAUAUCCUGUGGGCUGGUUGGGGUCUGUUUUGACCAGGAAACCCUUACAGCUAGCCUAAUCCUCAAUUCCUUCUUAUUAGGGACCUCAGGGUGGUACCCCCUUCUGACAUCUGGGCCACUUCUUGCAGUCAUUGGGGGUCAUCCCCCACACUGGUAACCUGUCAUCAAAUGGGCCACAGCAACAUUCAGCUUAAGUAUUUCUCCUUCCCACAUCCAAGGGAUUGAGUGGGCAUGAGACUGGGGAGUGGAAAAAACAGUGAACAGUCCUGGUCAGUUGCAGAUGUGCAGUCUCAUUCCCUAGAGAUGCAGGAUGCAGCUGACCUGAAUCAGGACAGAUCCCUGCAGGAGGGACUCCUGGUGCCAUGUCAGUCCCACCUGGCACUGCCCUAGCUCCCAGGCUCUGCCUCUGCAUCUUUCCUUGCUACUUCCUCUUUCACUUCUCCCCUGUUCCCAGACCCACCAGACAGAGCUUCCAGAGUGUCAGGACCUGUGUGGCUUAGCCAAGAUUCAGACUUUAGUCAAAAGCAGGAUCAGUAUAGACAUCUAGCUCCCAGAAUGGCAAUUCUCUGUUGUGUCUCCCUGUUUGUAUUGGCUGCAGGAAAGCUCAGAGCCAAGUCUGCGAUAAACUGGUGUGUGUAGGCCCUUACAGCCUGCAUUUUUGUGACCAAAUAAUAGAAUAAAUGCUCAGUCCUUAUCACAUGCUGUGAACUGUAGGCACCAACCUCACUCUUGCUUUUUAUUAUUUUUCUACACUGAUUUUUCCUUUUCUCCAUUUCUUCACACAUAGUACCUAUUUGAUUUAUUUUAUGCUGUUGCAUUGUGAGUGUGCCUUAAAUUCUAUGGGGACAAGGCAAGAGGACAAGCAAAUGAAAGCUCAGAGAGACAAAAAAGGCUCUUCCAGAAGUCUCCCUUGCUUCUAGCACCUGCUUCCCCUCCAUCAGGCUGUCUUCAGUCUUUCUCCAGAGGCCUCUGCUUACAGUGUGUUGUUGUUUUCUUAAGAGACAGGGUCUCACUCUGUCACCCAGGCUGGAGUGCAGUGGCAUGAUCAUGGCACACUGCAGCUUCAAACUCCUGGGCUUAAGGGAUCCUCCUGCCUCAGCCUCUUGAGUAGCUAGGAUUACAGGUGUGCACCACCACACCAUGCCAAUUAUUUAAAAAUCUUGUAGAGACAAGGUCUCACUAUGUUGCUCAGGCUGGUCUUGAGCUUUUGGCCUUGAGUAAUCCUCCCACCUUGGCCUCCUAAAGUGCUGAGCAUGACCCACUGCCCUCAUUCCCCAUUUUCUUUAAAAGGCCUGAACAUUUCCUUCCUCGUGUCAGUCCUGAACAAUUCACAUUUUCAGGGCUCUGCUCACAGGCCUGUGACUUAGCCUGCCUGCCUAUGAAACCAUUAGCAAAUUAGAAAUACCUCUUGCACCAGUCAGAAGGGGAUUGGUUUCUCUUAUAUGCACAUAAAUUGGGUCUACUGCACAAAUUACAGGGCUCCAAGUGUCUUAUGAGAGCAGGACUUGGGCUGACCAUGUCUCUCUGCCCUCACCCAUGCUCUGCUCUGAUUUCAGAUCCUAAGUGUGAACGUGAAGUCCCCAGCCCUGCUGCUGAGCCAGUUGCUGCCCUACAUGGAGAAGAGGAGGGGUGCUGUCAUCCUGGUCUCUUCUGCUGCAGCUUAUUAUCCAGCAAAGGAGCUGGGUGUCUACAAUGUCAGCAAGACAGCACUGCUGGGUCUCACUAGAACACUGGCAUUGGAGCUGGCCCCCAAGGACAUCCGGGUAAACUGCCUGGUUCCAGGAAUUAUCAAAACUGACUUCAGCAAAGUGUUGCAUGAGAAUGAGUCUUUCUGGAAGAACUUCAAGGAACGUCAUCAGCUGCAGAGGAUUGGGGAGUCAGAGGACUGUGCAGGAAUCGUGUCCUUCCUGUGCUCUCCAGAUGCCAGCUACAUCACUGGGGAGAACAUUGCAGUGGCAGGCUUCUCCUCUCGGCUCUGAGAGGAGUGGGGGCAGCUGUGCAGCUGUGGUCUCAGGCCCAGGAGCCUGAGGGGGUGUCUAGGUGAUCAUUUGGAUCUGGAGGCAGAGUCUGCCAUUCUUCCAGACUAGCAAUUUGGGGGCUUACUCAUGCUAGGCUUGAGGAAGAAGAAAAACGCUUUGGUAUUCUCCUUAGGACUUAUCUGCUUGUAGAUUUGGCUGAUCCAAUCAACAUGUGGGGUUCUUGGUGUGGGGCUGGGGAGCUGAAGGAUUUUAUGGAGCUGGUGCUUUGGAGGAACCUUAAGGGAAAGGAGUAGAAGCUCAGGCCUUUGAAGGAUUUCAGCUCCUCCUCUCUGUAAUUUGUGCUUUAAGCAUUUUUUUCCUAAAAUAAACUCAAAUCUAUCCUCAA
rnacentral:sRNA from 1 species